rnacentral:rRNA from 1 species
AUUGAACGCUGGCGGCAUGCCUAACACAUGCAAGUCGAGCGGAGCUUCGGACGGAUGAGUAAUGACUAGGAAACUGCCUGGUAGAGAGGGAUAACGUCCGGAAACGGACGCUAAUACCGAAUACUAUCAGAUCAGCCUAGUGAUGAUUAGCUAGUUGGUGGGGUAAAGGCCUAACAAGGCGACGAUCCGUACCUGGUCUGAGCGGAUGAUCAGUAAAACUGGAACUGAGACACGGUCCAGACUCCUACGGGAGGAAGCAGUGGGGAAUAUUGGACAAUGGGCGAAAGCCUGAUCCAGCCAUGCCGCGUGUGUGAAGAAGGUCGUCGGAUUGUAAAGCACUUUAAGUUGGGAGGCGUUACCAACAGAAUAAGCACCGGCUAACUUCGUGCCAGCAGCCGCGGUAAUAC